CAAUUAUUUUUUUUCUUGUAAUAAUUUUUUUUUAAUUAUUGAUAUGUGAUUUUACAAGCAAGAAAGGCAUUAAGAGAAUUAAAAGGAUUAGUAAAAUUACAAGAAUUGGUUAGGGGUUAUUUGGUAAGAAAAUUAUUUUUUUUCUUGUAAUAAUUUUUUUUUAAUUAUUAAUAUGUGAUUUUACAGUCAAAAAGGGCAUUAAGAGCAUUAAAAGGAUUAGUAAAAUUAUAAGCAAGUGCUACACUUCAUGGUAAGCAAGCAUUAAUGAGAGCACAAGCAAGUGUACGUGGUAAAAAAUGCUUCAUUAAAAAUCAAAAUUCAUAACUUCGUCAUGCAAGAAAAUCACUUGAUAUGUUUGAUGAAUCAAGAAGAGGAAGUACACUACAAAUGCCUAGAAGAAGGCUAUCAACAUCAUUUGAGGCUAAAAACAUAAAUGAGGAAAAUGCUAAAAUUGUAGAGAUGGACACUUAUGGAAGGCCCAAAUCAUCAAGAUCCAGAAGAGCAAACACUUGGGCUUCUGAUCCAUGUGAUGAUGAUCCAUUUGAACCAUCAAUGUUGUCUUCACGGGCCUCAGAUUGGGCCCAACAACAUCAACACUCCAAGUUGUCAACAACAACCCAAAGUACACUAAGGUUUGCAAACAACUCUCGUGGAUCUAACACCCCUAUUACACCAAUAGCCAAAAUGUUUGUGUUGAUAGCUACUAUUUUAGGAACAAUUAUUAUGACAAUAAUUAUCCUAAUUAUAUGGUGCUAAACACAAUCAUUUAAGUGGUAUUACAAUGCAAAAAUCAUGUUCACAAGCACAAGAUAAAAUCAAUUUCAAGAAUGCUAUCAUUGACAAAAUUGGAAAUUCAAGAGAGUUCAUUCAUUGACGUCGACGUCGCAUGAGCCUGACCAGCACAAAAGGGCACGACCAGGUCCAAGACGAGCAUGGCUGUCAAUCGCCCGAGCCUGACAAACACAAAAAAGCACGAUCAGGUUCAAGACCAGAACGACCGUCGUAGAAAUGGUGAAAGUUCUACAACAUUUUAACUUUAGACAAAGAAUAGAUAGAGAAUAGAAGAAAAGGAAAUAUUUUUAUGUAAAGUUAAAGGCAUGAUGUGACUUAACAUUGCAUUGAGCUAGUUUUCGAGGUUGAUUUUUUA